AGUGAACGCUGGCGGUAGGCCUAACACAUGCAAGUCGAACGGCAGCACAGUAAGAGCUUGCUCUUACGGGUGGCGAGUGGCGGACGGGUGAGGAAUACAUCGGAAUCUACUUUUUCGUGGGGGAUAACGUAGGGAAACUUACGCUAAUACCGCAUACGACCUACGGGUGAAAGCAGGGGAUCUUCGGACCUUGCGCGAUUGAAUGAGCCGAUGUCGGAUUAGCUAGUUGGCGGGGGAAAGGCCCCCCAAGGCGACGAUCCGUAGCUGGUCUGAGAGGAUGAUCAGCCACACUGAAACUGAGACACGGUCCAGACUCCUACGGGAGGCCGCAGUGGGGAAUAUUGGAAAAGGGGCGCAAGCCUGAUCCAGCCAUACCGCGUGGGUGAAGAAGGCCUUCGGGUUGUAAAGCCCUUUUGUUGGGAAAGAAAAGCAGCAGGUUAAGACCCCGCUGUUCUGCCGGUACCCAAAGAAUAAGCACCGGCUACCUUCGG
rnacentral:rRNA from 1 species